GCUCUGGUGAUGCAAAGGCAGCAUACAGGUCUUCCAAACCUGGUGUGCGGGUUCGACUCCCGUUCAGGGCU
rnacentral:tRNA from 1 species